rnacentral:rRNA from 1 species
CCUACGGGAGGCAGCAGUGGGGAAUAUUUGGCAAUGGAGGAAACUCUGACCCAGCAACGCCGCGUGAAUGAUGAAGGUCUUCGGAUUGUAAAGUUCUUUUCUAAGGGAAGAAGAAAGUGACGGUACCUUAGGAAUAAGCCUCGGCUAACUACGUGCCAGCAGCCGCGGUAAUACGUAGGAGGCGAGCGUUAUCCGGAAUGACUGGGCGUAAAGGGUGCGUAGGUGGUUUUGCAAGUCAGUAGCGAAAAUCCAAGGCUCAACCUUGGAACUACUACUAAAACUGUUGGACUUGAGUGCAGGAGGGGCAACCGGAAUUCCUAGUGUAGCGGUGGAAUGCGUAGAUAUUAGGAGGAACACCAGUGGCGAAGGCGGGUUGCUGGACUGUAACUGACACUGAGGCACGAAAGCGUGGGGAGCAAACAGGAUUAGAUACCCGUGUAGUC